GCCUAACACAUGCAAGUCGAGGGGCAUCGGGGCGAGGAGCAAUCCUUGCCGCCGGCGACCGGCGCACGGGUGAGUAACGCGUAUGCGACCUGCCCGUUGCAGGGGGAUAAUCGGGAGAAAUCCCGUCUAAUACCGCGUAAUGCCGCGGGGCUGCAUGGCCCUGCGGCCAAAGGGAGCGAUUCCGGCAACGGAUGGGCAUGCGUGACAUUAGCUAGUUGGCGGGGCAACGGCCCACCAAGGCGACGAUGUCUAGGGGUUCUGAGAGGAAGGUCCCCCACACUGGUACUGAGACACGGACCAGACUCCUACGGGAGGCAGCAGUGAGGAAUAUUGGUCAAUGGGCGCGAGCCUGAACCAGCCAAGUCGCGUGAGGGAUGACGGCCCUACGGGUUGUAAACCUCUUUUGUCGGGGAGCAAAUUCCGCCACGUGUGGCGGAGUCGAGAGUACCCGAAGAAAAAGCAUCGGCUAACUCCGUGCCAGCAGCCGCGGUAAUACGGAGGAUGCGAGCGUUAUCCGGAUUUAUUGGGUUUAAAGGGUGCGUAGGCGGACUGUCAAGUCAGCGGUAAAAUACGGGGGCUCAACCUCCGCCCGCCGUUGAAACUGACGGUCUUGAGUGGGCGAGAAGUAUGCGGAAUGCGUGGUGUAGCGGUGAAAUGCAUAGAUAUCACGCAGAACUCCGAUUGCGAAGGCAGCAUACCGGCGCCCGACUGACGCAGAAGCACGAAAGCGUGGGUAUCGAACAGGAUUAGAUACCCUGGUAGUCCACGCAGUAAACGAUGAAUACUAGCUGUCCGGGGCGAAUGAGCCCUGGGUGGCACAGCGAAAGCGUUAAGUAUUCCACCUGGGGAGUACGCCGGCAACGGUGAAACUCAAAGGAAUUGACGGGGGCCCGCACAAGCGGAGGAACAUGUGGUUUAAUUCGAUGAUACGCGAGGAACCUUACCCGGGCUCAAACGACACAGGAACGUACCUGAAAGGGUUCGGCUCUACGGAGCCUGUGUCGAGGUGCUGCAUGGUUGUCGUCAGCUCGUGCCGUGAGGUGUCGGCUUAAGUGCCAUAACGAGCGCAACCCCCAUCGACAGUUGCUAACAGGUCAGGCUGAGGACUCUGUCGAGACUGCCGGCGCAAGCUGCGAGGAAGGCGGGGAUGACGUCAAAUCAGCACGGCCCUUACGUCCGGGGCGACACACGUGUUACAAUGGCAGGUACAGCGGGAAGCCACCUGGCGACAGGGAGCGGAACCCGAAAGCCUGUCUCAGUUCGGAUUGGAGUCUGCAACCCGACUCCAUGAAGCUGGAUUCGCUAGUAAUCGCGCAUCAGCCACGGCGCGGUGAAUACGUUCCCGGGCCUUGUACACACCGCCCGUCAAGCCAUGGAAGCCGGGGGUGCCUGAAGUG
rnacentral:rRNA from 1 species